UACAGAGGUCCCAAGCGUUGUUCGGAUUCAUUGGGCGUAAAGGGUGCGUAGGUGGCGUCGUAAGUCCGGGUGUGAAAUCUCGGGGCUUAACUCCGAAACUGCAUUCGAUACUGCGGUGCUUGAGGGCUGGAGAGGAGAUCGGAAUUCACGGUGUAGCAGUGAAAUGCGUAGAUAUCGUGAGGAAGACCAGUGGCGAAGGCGGAUCUCGUGGACAGCUCCUGACGCUGAGCGCGAGGCUAGGGAGCAACGGG
rnacentral:rRNA from 1 species